GGUUGAUCCUGCCAGUAGUCAUAUGCUUGUCUCAAAGAUUAAGCCAUGCAUGUCUAAGUAUAAACAAAUUUGUACUGUGAAACUGCGAAUGGCUCAUUAAAUCAGUUAUAGUUUAUUUGAUGAUACCUUGCUACAUGGAUAACUGUGGUAAUUCUAGAGCUAAUACAUGCAAUCAAGCCCCGACUUCCGGAAGGGGUGUAUUUAUUAGAUAAAAAACCAACGCGGUUCGCCGCUCCCUUGGUGAUUCAUAAUAACUUCUCGAAUCGCAUGGCCUUGUGCCGGCGAUGCUUCAU
rnacentral:rRNA from 1 species